ACAGGCUGCGCGCGCAAUUACUCGCAGAGCGACACUCGAUAUCCGCCAUUUCAGUGACUGAAGGAUUUGUGAUGUUCAGGUAUAAUCUCGCAGCAGUAGCUCAUAAAUUGCCGAGCACUAAUUAGGGGCAAGAGGCCGAGCUGUCAGUCACAUUAUCCCAAAAUUUCAAACACACUCCCAUGUACUUUUUUGGAGUGGCGUCGAGGAAUCCGCAGCCAGUUGUCACUUUGCCUACCGUUUGCCGAAAGGACAGACAUCAGCCAUGUGAAAGGAAGAGGCAGAUGUGUGAGGAAUGUGAACCUCGCUAAUGCCGGAGCUGAAGGCCAAGCUCUAUAUGACAUGACAUUCAGAACAUCCACAAGUGCCACAUGGCUGUCAAUUUUCACACCACUGCUGGUGGUAUUAUUCACAUUAGUCACCAUAAGCAGUUGGAGAGCUGCAGAGACGCUUUAAUGGAUGAAGAAUGUUGCUGAUCCCACAUCUAAGAGCAGCAGGUUUGUGAAACCUUUACCUCUGGCUCAUAUCCCAAAGCCUGGAGCUGUCACUCAUCAGCAGAGGACGGAUAACACAAUGCUCCUGAACAAACAUCACACCUUCGGCUUUAAACACAGGUCUUUUGUAAGGUUAAAUGUUGCCCUGUUUAAUGUCACAUAAAUGGUGAAGCAAUCAUUCUUUACUUUGAUUUCCUGGAUUUUUUUAAAAUGCUAAAAUACAUUUUAUAUUAUAUUAUAAUAUAUUUUAUUAAUAUACUUAAUAUUAUAUACUAAAUAAAGUAUCAUUGA